AUUGAACGCUGGCGGCAUGCCUUACACAUGCAAGUCGAACGGUAACGGGCCUUCGGGUGCCGACGAGUGGCGAACGGGUGAGUAAUAUAUCGGAACGUGCCCAGUAGUGGGGGAUAGCCCGGCGAAAGCCGGAUUAAUACCGCAUACGACCUACGGGUGAAAGGGGGGGAUCGCAAGACCUCUCGCUAUUGGAGCGGCCGAUAUCAGAUUAGGUAGUUGGUGGGGUAAAGGCCUACCAAGCCUGCGAUCUGUAGUUGGUCUGAGAGGACGACCAGCCACACUGGGACUGAGACACGGCCCAGACUCCUACGGGAGGCAGCAGUGGGGAAUUUUGGACAAUGGGGGCAACCCUGAUCCAGCAAUGCCGCGUGCAGGAAGAAGGCCUUCGGGUUGUAAACUGCUUUUGUCAGGGAAGAAAUCCUCUGGGUUAAUACCUCGGGGGGAUGACGGUACCUGAAGAAUAAGCACCGGCUAACUACGUGCCAGCCGCCGCCGUAAGAC
rnacentral:rRNA from 1 species